rnacentral:lncRNA from 1 species
AGUUCUAUUUUUCAAAGAUUCCGAUCACUCAUUUUAUUUCUUUUUCUGGAAAAGGAGUAGUGCUCUUGGGAAGUUCCUAUUAAGUAAGUGUUCUUUGCUUUAUAUCAUAAGUUUAGCUCUUGUACGAAUGGAUCCACCUUUUCUUCUUGCUACUACUAGUUGUUGAACUUUCUUUAUUUCAAUGUAUUUGACUUCCGUUGUGUCACCUAGUCCUGAUGUGAUUCCUCUAGCUGCUUAGGAUACCCUAUUUUCUAAUGUUGCUUCUGUUGCUCCGGUUCCUGGCUCCUACUUUUUUAGGGUGAUGGCUCAUACAACGUGGCAUUGGUAGAGGGAAUCCUUUGAUUGUUCGAUUAGGAAACCCCGCCUAUUGAAGUCCCGCUCAACGAAGUCUCGGAACGUUGAUCUUUCCCGUCAAUGCCAUCUGCCCUCAUAUUUGAAUUAAGCUCAUCUCUACGAGGACCUAAAAGUAGGAAAGAAGCAACGUAUUUCUUUCUGACGAACCACACCAACC